ACGGGGGAUUAGGGUUCGAUUCCGGAGAGGGAGCCUGAGAAACGGCUACCACGUCUAAGGAAGGCAGCAGGCGCGCAAAUUACCCAAUUCUAACAGCAUAAGAGAGGUAGUGACAAGAAAUAACAGUACAAGGCAGUUAAAAUGCUUUGUAAUUGGAAUGAUAGAAAUUUAAACACUUUUUAAAGUAUCAAUUGGAGGGCAAGUCUGGUGCCAGCAGCCGCGGUAAUUCUAGCUCCAAUAGCGUAUAUUAAAACUGUUGCAGUUAAAAAGCUCGUAGUUGAAUUUUUGCUAGAAAUAACCGGUCUGCUUUUAUUAAUAAAAGUGGUAUCUUGGUGUGUUUUUAGCAAUAAUGUCCUUUGAAAUGCUUUUUACUUUUAUGUAAGAAGCAAUAUUCAGGAUUUUUACUUUGAGAAAAUUAGAGUGUUUCAAGCAGGCUAACGUUUUGAAUACUGCAGCAUGGAAUAAUAAAAUAGGAUUUUGGUUCUACAUUAUUGGUUUUAAGAACUAAUUUUAUGAUUGAUAGGGACAGUUGGGGGCAUUUGUAUUUAACUGUCAGAGGUGAAAUUCUUAGAUUUG
rnacentral:rRNA from 1 species